rnacentral:rRNA from 2 species
GAGAGGCCUUAGGGUUGUAAAGCACUUUCAGACGUGAGGAAAAGUUAAGUCCUAAUACGGCUUAACCCUGACGUUAACGUCAGAAGAAGCACCGGCUAACUCCGUGCCAGCAGCCGCGGUAAUACGGAGGGUGCAAGCGUUAAUCGGAAUUACUGGGCGUAAAGCGCGCGUAGGCGGUUAAAUAAGUCAGAUGUGAAAGCCCCGGGCUCAACCUGGGAACUGCAUUUGAAACUGUUUAGCUAGAGUGUGGUAGAGGAGAGUGGAAUUUCAGGUGUAGCGGUGAAAUGCGUAGAUAUCUGAAGGAACAUCAGUGGCGAAGGCGGCUCUCUGGACCAACACUGACGCUGAGGUGCGAAAGCGUGGGUAGCAAAAGGGAUUAGAUACCCCAGUAGUCGGCGGG